rnacentral:rRNA from 1 species
UGAGGAAUAUUGGGCAAUGGGCGCAAGCCUGACCCAGCAACGCCGCGUGAAGGAAGAAGGCCCUCGGGUUGUAAACUUCUUUUAUUCGGGACGAAACAAAUGACGGUACCGAAUGAAUAAGCUACGGCUAACUACGUGCCAGCAGCCGCGGUAAUACGUAGGUGGCAAGCGUUAUCCGGAUUUACUGGGUGUAAAGGGCGUGUAGGCGGGAGAGCAAGUCAGACGUGAAAUUCCAGGGCUCAACCCUGGAACUGCGUUUGAAACUGUUCUUCUAGAGUGAUGGAGAGGCAGGCGGAAUUCCGUGUGUAGCGGUGAAAUACGUAGAUAUACGGAGGAACACCAGUGGCGAAGGCGGCCUGCUGGACAUUAACUGACGCUGAGGCGCGAAAGCGUGGGGAGCAAACAGG